AAAUGCGAUAAGUAAUGUGAAUUGCAGAAUUCAGUGAAUCAUCGAAUCUUUGAACGCACAUUGCGCCCGCCAGUAUUCUGGCGGGCAUGCCUGUCCGAGCGUCAUUUCAACCAUCAAGCCCCCGGGCUUGUGUUGGGGACCUGCGGCUGCCCGCAGGCCCUGAAAACCAGUGGCGGGCUCGCUGUCACACCGAGCGUAGUAGCAAUCACCUCGCUCAGGGCGUGCUGCGGGUUCCGGCCGUUAAACAGCCUUACAAACCCAAGGUUGACCUCGGAUCAGGUAGGAAGACCCGCUGAACUUAAGC
rnacentral:misc_RNA from 1 species